rnacentral:rRNA from 1 species
GACGGGGGGGGCAAGUGUUCUUCGGAAUGACUGGGCGUAAAGGGCACGUAGGCGGUGAAUCGGGUUGAAAGUGAAAGUCGCCAAAAAGUGGCGGAAUGCUCUCGAAACCAAUUCACUUGAGUGAGACAGAGGAGAGUGGAAUUUCGUGUGUAGGGGUGAAAUCCGUAAAUAUACGAAGGAACGCCAAAAGCGAAGGCAGCUCUCUGGGUCCCUGCCGACGCUGGGGUGCGAAAGCAUGGGGAGCGAACAGG